AUGACCUGCAUCGAAUAUAAUGCCUUUUUUCUCUCUGUAGACUCUAUGAUAAACACGGGGAGGUGGCUGUUCGUGCCUAUCCGCAGUUCUAUCCCACAAUCCUCCCCUCUGACAUCAUGGUCAUGGCUUUACCCAGCCACUUCCUGCCUUACCUGGACAAUCUGGUCCAAUCACGAGCCGAGCAGCAGCGGUUGUCUUUUUUGGGCUCUCUUCUCCAGCCAGAAACUCUGCGACAUGAUUGGCUGGAACUGGCGCUGUCCCAUGAUGCCCCACAAAGGGAAGACACGCUUACUCCUGACGGACACCCCAGGUGGCGCUCUCAUUUCUUCAGCUGGGGUUAUGGGCGUCUGCUGUCUCUGCUGAUCCGCCUGCCAGCUAAUCUGGCCUCCAAACAGAAGAUGCUGGAGAUGUGCAGGACUCACGGGUGAGUGUAGAGUUGGAAUGUAUAGAAUUGGAUCAGAAUGUAUAGUUGGGUACACUGCGACUGUUAUUUGUCUCUCAGGUAUUGGAUGGGUUACCUGUACCUGUGCAGAGAGCUGCAGCGGAGGCCCGAGGCUUUCAGUGCCAUCUGCAGACUG
ensembl:lncRNA